GAACUGAAGAGUUUGAUCCUGGCUCAGAUUGAACGCUGGCGGCAUGCUUUACACAUGCAAGUCGAACGGCAGCGCGGGGCAACCUGGCGGCGAGUGGCGAACGGGUGAGUAAUAUAUCGGAACGUACCCAAGAGUGGGGGAUAACGUAGCGAAAGUUACGCUAAUACCGCAUACGAUCUAAGGAUGAAAGCAGGGGAUCUUCGGACCUUGUGCUCCUGGAGCGGCCGAUAUCUGAUUAGCUAGUUGGUGAGGUAAAGGCUCACCAAGGCCACGAUCAGUAGCUGGUCUGAGAGGACGACCAGCCACACUGGAACUGAGACACGGUCCAGACUCCUACGGGAGGCAGCAGUGGGGAAUUUUGGACAAUGGGCGAAAGCCUGAUCCAGCAAUGCCGCGUGAGUGAAGAAGGCCUUCGGGUUGUAAAGCUCUUUUGUCAGGGAAGAAACGGUGAAGGCUAAUAUCCUU
rnacentral:rRNA from 1 species